ACCUCGGAUCAGGUAGGAAUACCCGCUGAACUUAAGCAUAUCUG
rnacentral:rRNA from 1 species